GAUGAACGCUGGCGGCGUGCCUAAUACAUGCAAGUCGAGCGAACGGACGAGAAGCUUGCUUCUCUGAUGUUAGCGGCGGACGGGUGAGUAACACGUGGAUAACCUACCUAUAAGACUGGGAUAACUUCGGGAAACCGGAGCUAAUACCGGAUGAUAUUUUGAACCGCAUGGUUCAAAAGUGAAAGACGGUCUUGCUGUCACUUAUAGAUGGAUCCUCGCUGCAUUAGCUAGUUGGUAAGGUAACGGCUUACCAAGGCAACGAUGCAUAGCCGACCUGAGAGGGUGAUAGGACACAAUGGAACUGAGACACGAGAAAGACUCCUACGGGAGGCAGCAGUAGGGAAUCUUCCGCAAUGGGCGAAAGCCUGACGGAGAAACGCCGCGUGAGUGAUGAAGGUCUUCGGAUCGUAAAACUCUGUUAUUAGGGAAGAACAUAUGUGUAAGUAACUGUGCACAUCUUGACGGUACCUAAUCAGAAAGCCAAGGCUAACUACGUG
rnacentral:rRNA from 1 species